AUCCCAUGAUGAGGGCAUUUCCACAAUAACUCUUUGAAUCUCUCCGAUGUUUCAUACAAUGAUUCACCAUCUGACUGUUGGAAUGAGGUGAUGUCAUUUCUGUGCUU
rnacentral:snoRNA from 1 species